ACCGUGGUAAUUCUAGAGCUAAUACAUGCUUAAACGCCCGACUUUAUGGAAGGGUGGUAUUUAUUAGACUGAAGCCAAUAUUCCUUGUGUCUAUUGCGGUGAUUCAUAAUAACUGAUCGAAUCUCUUUUUGAGAUAAAUCAUUCAAGUUUCUGCCCUAUCAGCUUUCGAUGGUAGUGUAUUGGACUACCAUGGCAGUAACGGGUAACGAAGAAUUAGGGUUCGAUUUCGGAGAGGGAGCAUGAGAAACGGCUACCACAUCUAAGGAAGGCAGCAGGCGCGUAAAUUACCCAAUCCUGACUCAGGGAGGUAGUGACAAGAAAUAGCAAACCGGGAACCUCAUGGUUUCACGGUAUUGCAAUGAGAACAAUUUAAAACCCUUAGCGAGAAUCAAGUGGAGGACAAGUCUGGUGCCAGCACCCGCGGUAAUUCCAGCUCCACUAGCGUAUAUUAAAGUUGUUGCAGUUAAAAAGCUCGUAGUUGAACCUCUGUCUGGGGCUAGUUUUGGCUUUGGUCAGGCUAGUUCUAGGCAUCCGCCUACAAGACUUAGAGGGCAUUCAGUUGUUCACUAGGAGGAGUAGGCAUUUUACUUUGAAAAAAUUAGAGUGUUUAAGGCAGGCAAUCGCCCGCAUAUAUUAGCAUGGAAUAAUAGAAUAGGACACUUUUCCAUUUCGUUGGUUAUUGGAAUCGUGUAAUGAUUAAUAGGGACAGUUGUGGGCAUUUGUAUUUAAUUGUCAGAGGUGAAAUUCUUGGAUUUAUUAAAGACAAACUAACGCGAAAGCAUUUGCCAAGGAUGUUUUCAUUAAUCAAGAACGAAAGUUAGGGGAUCAAAGACGAUCAGAUACCGUCCUAGUCUUAACUAUAAACUAUUCCGACUCAAUGUUUGACUGGCUUAUAUAACCAGUUGAGCGUUGUAUGAGAAAUCAAAGUCUUUAGGUUCUGGGGGGAGUAUGGUUGCAAAGCUGAAACUUAAAGGAAUUGACGGAAGAGCACAACCAGGAGUGGAUUCUGCGGCUUAAUUUGACUCAACACGGGGAAACUUACCAGGUUAAAACAAUAGUGGGAUUGACAGUUUGAGAGCGCUUUCUUGAUUGGUUGGGUGGUGGUGCAUGGCCGUUCCUAGUUGGUGGAGUGAUUUGUCUGCUUAAUUGCGUUAACGAACGAGACCUUAACCUGCUUACUAGACUGGCGAGU
rnacentral:rRNA from 1 species